GCCAUGUUGUAUUGAGGUUCCGGGAGCAACUCUUCAGCACGGUGUGCGUGGACUUGAGGUGUUGGUGUGGCAGUUCUGCGCUGGAAACUCUUAAGGCCUCUGCAUAUGGCUCCCUAGAGGUACUGAGUGAACUCCGGGAGUUGGUGAUGGACAGGGAGGCCUGGCGUGCUGCGAUUCAUGGGGUUGCAAAGAGUUGGACACGACUGAGUGACUGAACUGAACUGAACUGAAUUUCUGCCCAGUUAAUUUCGUUGAGUGAGAGAAAAAAGAUGGAGAAGAGAAGAAUGCCAUACAAAUGGGGAAAAUGAAGAAACUGUUGGUAAAGAGGGC
ensembl:lncRNA